rnacentral:sRNA from 1 species
AUGUCUUGGAAGACAAAUUAUUUUUCAGGGGGUCGUGGUAGUGUACAAGGGAUGUUUGCACCUCGAAGCUCAACCUCCAUAGCCCCCAGCAAAGGCCUCAGCAAUGAGCCAGGGCAAAACAGCUGCUUCCUCAACAGUGCCCUGCAGGUUUUGUGGCACUUGGAUAUCUUCCGACGUAGCUUUAGGCAGCUUACAACUCACAAGUGCAUGGGAGAUUCCUGCAUCUUUUGCGCUCUCAAGGGAAUCUUUAACCAGUUUCAGUGUAGUAGUGAAAAAGUGCUUCCAUCUGACACUCUCCGCAGUGCUCUGGCAAAGACUUUCCAGGAUGAACAACGUUUCCAGCUGGGAAUUAUGGAUGAUGCUGCAGAGUGCUUUGAAAACCUCCUGAUGAGAAUUCACUUCCACAUUGCUGAUGAAACCAAAGAGGAUAUAUGUACUGCCCAACACUGCAUUUCCCAUCAGAAAUUUGCAAUGACAUUGUUUGAGCAGUGUGUAUGUACUAGCUGUGGUGCCACUUCUGAUCCGCUGCCUUUCAUCCAGAUGGUACAUUAUAUCUCCACCACUUCCCUUUGCAAUCAGGCUAUUUGUAUGCUGGAAAGACGAGAGAAACCUUCACCAAGCAUGUUUGGUGAACUGCUGCAGAAUGCCAGCACCAUGGGGGAUCUGCGGAACUGUCCAAGCAACUGUGGAGAGAGGAUCAGGAUUCGCCGUGUUUUGAUGAAUGCUCCACAGAUUAUCACGAUUGGGCUGGUAUGGGACUCAGACCACUCAGACUUAGCAGAAGAUGUUAUCCACAGCCUGGGAACCUGCCUUAAGCUGGGUGAUCUGUUCUUCAGAGUGACGGAUGACCGGGCCAAGCAAUCUGAACUGUACUUAGUUGGAAUGAUCUGUUACUAUGGCAAACAUUAUUCUACAUUCUUUUUUCAAACAAAGAUUCGCAAAUGGAUGUAUUUUGAUGAUGCUCAUGUCAAGGAGAUUGGGCCCAAAUGGAAGGAUGUGGUGACCAAAUGCAUCAAGGGGCAUUAUCAGCCCCUGCUGCUGCUUUAUGCAGAUCCCCAGGGUACCCCAGUGUCCACCCAGGACCUGCCUCCCCAAGCUGAGUUCCAGUCAUACAGCAGGACGUGCUACGACAGUGAAGAUUCAGGUGAGCAGCCUGGCUCUUUACCUCUCCUCUCUCCUCACCUCAUGCGGUCAAACAGUUGGGACUCAUAC